rnacentral:rRNA from 1 species
UGGGAAUUUUGGACAAUGGGCGAAAGCCUGAUCCAGCAAUGCCGCGUGUGUGAAGAAGGCCUUCGGGUUGUAAAGCACUUUGUCCGGAAAGAAAUCCUUGGCUCUAAUACAGUCGGGGGAUGCGGUACCGGAAGAAUAAGCACCGGCUAACUACGUGCCAGCAGCCGCGGUAAUACGUAGGGUGCAAGCGUUAAUCGGAAUUACUGGGCGUAAAGCGUGCGCAGGCGGUUUGCUAAGACCGAUGUGAAAUCCCCGGGCUCAACCUGGGAACUGCAUUGGUGACUGGCAGGCUAGAGUAUGGCAGAGGGGGGUAGAAUUCCACGUGUAGCAGUGAAAUGCGUAGAGAUGUGGAGGAAUACCGAUGGCGAAGGCAGCCCCCUGGCAAUACUGACGCUCAUGCACGAAAAGCGU